AUAUAUAUAUAUAUAUAUAUAUAUAUUCAAUCUAAUUCUUUUAACUUAUUGUUCGUUGGUCAGUUCGUGAGUCAGCUCGUGUUCGGCUCGUUUAUACCCCUACUACAAUCCAAAAAGCCACAAAUAUACAUCACGGCCAUAUAUAGUCCAGUAAUUUUCAAUCAAUUUCGUUAUUGACUUUUUCAAAUACCUGAAAAAACUAAU
rnacentral:lncRNA from 1 species